CCCUAAUUCAUCCCAGGAGGAAAAGGCAGCUUCCUGUAGCCCUAAGCUGAAUCUUGAAGUUCAAGAAGUGAAAGAGUGAACCAAGAACAUCCCAGACAUAGGGAACUGUAUGUGAGCAGGAUCCUUUACUAAAAAGGAAACAGCCCUGCCCAAGGAUCUGGGCUCAAAUUCAAGAUCAGCUGAUUCAACACAGCAUCCCUGUAGAAAAAGCUGGCAGAGUAAAAGCUUCAAUUCCUUCCCAUGGCAGCCCACCAAAACUGGCUUCAAAGAUCCUCUGCUUAUGCUGCAGGGACUGUGAAGAGCCCCAAGUCAUCGAUGACUCCAAGGUUCCCAGUUAAACCCAAGAGAACCAGCCAUUGAGCCACAGAUCCUCAGCCCUGAACACAGUGCUUGGUACCAGUACAUCCUCAAUAAAUACAUCUGUACCCAGAUGUCCAUGGAAGACGUGUUCCAAGACCACCCUUCAAUACCCAAAUCCAUGGAUGCUCAAAUCCCUUCCAUAAACUGAGAUCUGAAGGCAGGCUCUUACCAAGAUAGUUUGCAAAAGAAACACACACACUGCUCCCAAAACAACCGGAUGACAGUCAAGACAUGCAACCUUGGGUGACCCUGAGCAUUCUAGUCAGUGGCGCCCCCAUGAGGCUCUGGCUGCACAGCUGCAGAGGAUCUCCAUGAGGAGGAAGGCAGUGGGCAGGAGUCAUAAAGACUGAUUCAGAAACUUCAGGCAGGAAGAGAAGAUGUCGGAGUCAACCCUGUGCCAUCUGCUGGAGUCCCACCAUCUGACACAGCCAGGGCAGGAAGAGCUGUCUCCAAUUAAAG
rnacentral:lncRNA from 1 species